ACCCUCACCCGCACCCGCAACCCCUGCUGCUGCCCACUGGAAGGGCAAACUAAAGCUUGGCAUUUCACAGGUAGGCGUGAAAGUCAGCUUUAUACAGAUCAUAGACACUGACCCGGCCUUUGUCAUCCCUUAUCGCUGCUCCACCCUGUUUGUCUACAGCUGCUGGUUACACCCAAGUGUCUGUUCGUUGGUUGGUUGAUUUGGAGGUCCCUCCAGGGAGGCGAUUGAGAAGAGCCAUCCAUCCCUGCUGCAUGACUUCCAACUUCACACACGUCCCAUAUGGUUCUGAAGGAUUGAGCAACACAGCAUCUAUGUUGGUGGCUGACUUAAUAACCCUUCCUUGAACUGGUUUUUCUCUUCCUAGUUUGCAUUUCCAGGCCACUGCUAUUGGUCCUUGAACUCUAUUCCCUAAUAAAAUAUUCAUAUUGAA
rnacentral:lncRNA from 1 species